GGCAGGUUGUUCCAGCAAAGCAUGACAGUGUGAAGAUGCUGUGAAGUUGGCUCGGACAGCCGGGUGGAAGCCAGGACUUCCAGAAUUCCAACUGGCCCCAGGGGAAGAACUGGGUUUGGGGGAGAUGUUGAUUUGCAUGUGAUUUGCACAAGACUGAAACUCUGCAAGUGACGGUGGCACCAACGAGGUCUUUCUCACCUCGGUAUCGCUGGCACUUACGUGCUGGGGGCUCAAUACACGUUCCUGGAAGGAACAGAGGGAAGGAGGAGCUUUUCAUUUCUCUGCUAUCUUGACUUUCUCAACACUUCAACGCGUUGAUCUCAUUCGAUUCUUACAAGUGGAGGGAGAAAGGAUGGUUUGUCAUCACCCUUACUUUAUGGAUAAGGAAACCAAGAUAGCAUGGCUUGGCAAUUUAUCCAGAGAAGCAAAAUGACCGACAACAACGCACGGUGAAACGCAGUGUUGGGAAUCGCAGAUGGAAGCCGAGCAUUUCCUCUACCUGUGGGACCUGCACUUUUCCUAAUGCUCUUUCCCAUGUGUUCUCUGCAGGUCCUCAGGCAAAUCCUGUGGAGGAGAAAGGGCAAAGUCAUCCCAGUGUCUCGUUUUUGAGGGAACUUGUGGCUGCCAUGUGGACAGUACCAGGGGAUAUGUCUCAGCAGCCGGCCGGGAACUCUUGGCUGCAGACAGUUGCACAGCUCGUUAUCUUGAUGCCAAAACAAGAACCAAGGACCCUUUUCCACUAGGAGAACUCUCGGCAAGCAGGACUUGAGACGAGCGGAGUCCAGCUCCCCUGGAGGUAUGUUUGAAUUUACAAGUCUUAAGUCUUUGGGAACUAGGUCAACUAGAC
rnacentral:lncRNA from 10 species